UUCCAGACUCCUACGGGAGGCAGCAGUGGGGAAUAUUGCACAAUGGGGGAAACCCUGAUGCAGCGACGCCGCGUGAGUGAAGAAGUAUUUCGUUAUGUAAAGCUCUCUCAGCAGGGAAGAAAAUGACGGUACCUGAUUAAGAAGCCCCGGCUAACUACGUGCCAGCAGCCGCGGUAAUACGUAGGGGGCAAGCGUUAUCCGGAUUUACUGGGUGUAAAGGGAGCGUAGACGGUGAUGCAAGUCAGAAGUGAAAGCCCGGGGCUCAACUCCGGUACUGCUUUUGAAACUGUGUGACUGGAGUGCAGGAGAGGUAAGCGGAAUUCCUGGUGUAGCGGUGAAAUGCGUAGAUAUCAGGAGGAACACCAGUGGCGAAGGCGGCUUACUGGACUGUAACUGACGUUGAGGCUCGAAAGCGUGGGGAGCAAACAGGAUUAGAUACCCCUGUA
rnacentral:rRNA from 1 species